UACAGAGGUCCCGAGCGUUGUUCGGAUUCACUGGGCAUAAAGGGUGCGUAGGUGGUGGGGUAAGUCGGAUGUGAAAUCUCCGAGCUCAACUCGGAAAUGGCAUUGGAAACUACCUUGCUCGAGGGUUGGAGGGGGGACUGGAAUACUUGGUGUAGCAGUGAAAUGCGUAGAUAUCAAGUGGAACACCAGUGGCGAAGGCGAGUCCCUGGACAACUCCUGACACUGAGGCACGAAAGCUAGGGGAGCAAACAGG
rnacentral:rRNA from 1 species